GGCGCCGACGGCAUGCCGCCACGCAACCCGCUCGCAAUGUGCCAUCCACCAGUUCGCUGCAAUUAACAUUUUGAGCAAUUCUCGAACUUCCGAACUUCCCGCAAGUGCAAAAGACGAAAUUCGCUUAAUUUAAGCCGUUCUGUGCGCUUAACGUUGCGGUGUGCAGGACUGUGUCGCCGAAUUGUUUUGGCGUACUUUGCGGAUUAUUGCAAGGAGCGCGUUUCCCGGAGCGAAUUCAUCAACAUCUUUUAACGAUACCCGCAUUCGCACAGCCCGGAGUCCCUCGUCCGAAAAAGAUGAUUACUCUCCUGGAUCUCCUCCAAAACCCAUAUCGUAAGAACUGACGUGUUCCGCUGCAAU